rnacentral:rRNA from 1 species
UCCACGCUGCCGGUUCGCCGCCCGUCGGUGUCUAACUGGCAUGCACGUGUGGACGUCCUGCCGGUGGCCCGAUCCGGCGCGGGUCUAACGCCCGCGUUCCGGGGAAGGCCUAUCAUACCCGUCGCGGUGCUCUUAACCGAGUGUCUCGAUGGGCCGGCACGUUUACUUUGAACAAAUUAGAGUGCUUAAAGCAGGCAGCAUCCGCCUGAAUACCGAGUGCAUGGAAUAAUGGAAUAGGACCUCGGUUCUAUUUUGUUGGUUUUCGGAAUCCCCGAGGUAAUGAUCAAUAGGGACAGACGGGGGCAUUCGUAUUGCGACGUUAGAGGUGAAAUUCUUGGAUCGUCGCAGGACGGACCGAAGCGAAAGCAUUUGCCAAGAAUGUUUUCUCUGAUCAAGAACGAAAGUUAGAGGUUCGAAGGCGAUCAGAUACCGCCCUAGUUCUAACCAUAAACAAUGCCAGCCAGCAAUCCGCGAGUUCYUCCGAUGACUCGGCGGGCGGUUUCCGGGAAASCAAAGCUUUUGGGUUCCGGGGGAAGUAUGGUUGCAAAGCUGAAACUUAAAGGAAUUGACGGAAGGGCACCACCAGGAGUGGAGCCUGCGGCUUAAUUUGACUCAACACGGGAAACCUCACCAGGCCCGGACACCGGGAGGAUUGACAGAUUGAGAGCUCUUUCUUGAUUCGGUGGGUGGUGGUGCAUGGCCGUUCUUAGUUGGUGGAGCGAUUUGUCUGGUUAAUUCCGAUAACGAACGAGACUCUAGCCUGCUAACUAGUCGCUUCCGGUAUCCUUGUGCUACCGGCGACUCCUGAUCUUCUUAGAGGGACAGGCGGCUCCUAGCCGCACGAGAUUGAGCAAUAACAGGUCUGUGAUGCCCUUAGAUGUUCUGGGCCGCACGCGCGCUACACUGAAGGAAUCAGCGUGUCCUCCCUGGCCGAAAGGUCCGGGUAACCCGCUGAACCUCCUUCGUGCUAGGGAUUGGGGCUUGCAAUUGUUCCCCAUGAACGAGGAAUUCCCAGUAAGCGCGAGUCAUAAGCUCGCGUUGAUUACGUCCCUGCCCUUUGUACACACCGCCCGUCGCUACUACCGAUUGAAUGAUUUAGUGAGGUCUUCGGACCGGUGGGCGUGGGGGUUCGCCUCCUCGAUUCCACCGGGAAGAUGCCCAAACUUGAUCAUUUAGAGGAAGUAAAAGUCGUAACAAGGU